rnacentral:rRNA from 1 species
UGGCGGCCAUAGCGGUGUGGAACCACCCGAUCCCAUUUCGAACUCGGAAGUGAAACGCACCUGCGCCGAUGGUAGUGUGGGAGUUCCCAUGUGAGAGUAGGUCACUGCCA